rnacentral:tRNA from 1 species
AAGUUAUUAGUUUAAUAAAAAUAAAUGUUUUCUAUACAUUAGAUGGGGAGUCUCAUAAUUUA